GAUGAAGAACGCAGCGAAAUGCGAUACGUAAUGUGAAUUGCAGAAUUCUGUGAAUCAUCGAAUCUUUGAACGCAUAUUGCGCUCUUUGGUAUUCCGAAGAGCAUGCUUGUUUGAGUAUCAGUAAACACCUCAAAGCUUUUGGAUUUUUUAAUCGAAAAGCUUUGGACUUGAGCAAUCCCAACACCAAUCUUUUUGAGAUCGGUGGCGGGUUGCUUGAAAUGCAGGUGCAGCUGGACAUUCUCCUGAGCUAAAAGCAUAUUCAUUUAGUCCCGUCAAACGGAUUAUUACUUUUGCUGCAGCUAACAUAAAGGGAGUUUGACCGUAUUGGCUGACUGAUGCAGGAUUUCACAAGGGUCGGCAACGAUUCUUGUUAAACUCGAUCUCAAAUCAAGUAAGACUACCCGCUGAACUUAAGCAUAUCAAUAAGCGGAGGA
rnacentral:misc_RNA from 1 species